rnacentral:rRNA from 1 species
GACGAACGCUGGCGGCGUGCUUAACACAUGCAAGUCGUACGAUAAGUUCCUUUCGGGGGGACCCGAGUUGCGAACGGGUGAGUAACACGUGAUUAACCUGCCCACAACUUCUGGAAACCGCUAGUAAUAUCGGGUUAAUACUGAAUAUGUACUCUUGCUCCCCGGAGGGUGUUGGAACGUUCCGGGGGUUGUGGAUGGAGGUGGGGCCCUGCCGCGCGUUGGAGGGGUAGUGGCUUACCGAGGCUGCGCCGGGGAGCCGGCCUGAGAGGGUGACCGGCCACAUUGGGACUGAGAUACGGCCCAGACUCCUACGGGAGGCAGCAGUGGGGAAUAUUGCACAAUGGGCGCAAGCCGGAUGCAGCAACGCCGCGUGCGGGAUGACGGCCUUCGGGUUGUAAACCGCAUUCAGCAGGGACGAAGCUUUUUGUGACGGUACCUGCAGAAGAAGCACCGGCUAACUACGUG